UCCCAGCAGGGCAUUUCGGCCUCCCGUGUCCACACAGUGAGUGUGCGGUGAUGACCACACCUGUCUACACGGCUGUGGGCCCCCUGCACACGUGCCCUGGACUGAUUGCCCACAAACCGACCCACAGCUGCAGAGUCCGGCCCACUGGUCCACUUUGCCUGCUGGCAGCGUCUUGGAAUAGUGGACCCCUUUGCCACUGUUAGCUAAACGGCGCGGCCCACCCCUGAUGGGGGUCUCCAGGCUUCUUUCCGUCGGGCCCAGCACCCACCAGGGCCCCACAUCACGCCCUGCCCCGUCUCCCAGGCUCCUGUUGGCCUCGGGUUGCCCAGGCUGGCCUUGUUUUCGGGAGGGCAGAUCCGGUGCUUGGCUGGUGUGCGUGUCACAAGGUUAGAACGCUGUCACGUGGUACAAGGGGACUUCCUUCACAGCAUGAGCCAGCACUGUUGCAGAUGACCUUGGCUGCCUGCUAAGGUCAUGCUGGUCAGUGCUCACCACUGUGGAUUUGCUUCUUUGUUCCCCCUGGCUUCAGAAGAAAGGCAUCGUGGGUAGUCUGCACUUGAGGGAAACCUCAAGAGCCGUGUGGGUCGUGGCACCCCUGUCCUGUCAUUUAUUCAUCCUUGCAUAACAUUUGAUUGAACAACUCCUAUAAACUGGGCGUGGUUCUGUACAGCAACAACACAGCAGUGCACAAAACAGGGUCUUACUAUGCCAUUCAGGCUGGCCUUGAACUCACAGCAAUUCUGCCUCAGCCUCCUGAGUGCCGUGAUUACAGACAUGCGCCACCACGCCUGGCUGCUCUGGUCCAGCUUUUGAGGUACUCUGCAACCCUCCACAGAGAGAGGCUGACCUGCCGUAAACUGCUAGUCUCCGACCACUUCCCUCGAAACCUCAGAAGAUCUGCUCUCUGAAAAGUCACCCAGCCCCCCAAACCAAACAGGAAGCCCUGAGGGUCACAAGGCAGCGCGGCAAAUUCCCCUCAGCGAUAGGUUGAGCAGUGCCCCAGAACCCAAGGUGAAUUCCUGGCACUGGGACGAAGCCUGCUUGGCACACAAGCUGUAGGUGUGACCGACUGAGAGUCUCACAGUGAGCCUGGCCUGCCUUGUCCAGGCGGGCUCGACAGCCAAAGUGGUCUUUGUUUUGUUAGGUUUUGUUUUUUUGAGACAGGGUCUUGCUCAGCAGUCCAGGCUGGCCUCAGACUCACUACAUAGCCCAGGCUGGCCUCAGACUUGUGGCGACUCUCCUGCCUCAGCCUCCCCAGUGCUGGGACGGCAGACACGCGUCACCCCACCCAGUGUCAGCCUCUCUGUGAAGUGGUCCGUCCUACAUUUGUGUGUCUCACAGGCUGCAGAUGCUGCCUGCUGGACUCAGCUAUCUGAAUGCACAAGGGUCCCUGGGGUCAGAGAGACCAUUUUCACUGCCUUGUACCAGCCUGGUGGAGACAGACAGACAGACAGACAAAU